UACGUAGGUGGCGAGCGUUGUCCGGAUUUACUGGGUGUAAAGGGCGCGUAGGCGGGGAUGCAAGUCAGAUGUGAAAUCUAUGGGCUCAACCCAUAAACUGCAUUUGAAACUGUAUCUCUUGAGUGCCGGAGAGGUAGACGGAAUUCCUAGUGUAGCGGUGAAAUGCGUAGAUAUUAGGAGGAACACCAGUGGCGAAGGCGGUCUACUGGACGGUAACUGACGCUGAGGCGCGAAAGCGUGGGGAGCAAAC
rnacentral:rRNA from 1 species